AGUGAACGCUGGCGGUAUGCCUAACACAUGCAAGUCGAACGGCAGCACAGUAAGAGCUUGCUCUUACGGGUGGCGAGUGGCGGACGGGUGAGGAAUACAUCGGAAUCUACUUUUUCGUGGGGGAUAACGUAGGGAAACUUACGCUAAUACCGCAUACGACCUACGGGUGAAAGCAGGGGAUCUUCGGACCUUGCGCGAUUGAAUGAGCCGAUGUCGGAUUAGCUAGUUGGCGGGGUAAAGGCCCACCAAGGCGACGAUCCGUAGCUGGUCUGAGAGGAUGAUCAGCCACACUGGAACUGAGACACGGUCCAGACUCCUGCGGGAGGCAGCAGUGGGGAAUAUUGGACAAUGGGCGCAAGCCUGAUCCAGCCAUGCCGCGUGGGUGAAGAAGGCCUUCGGGUUGUAAAGCCCUUUUGUUGGGAAAGAAAAGCAGCAGGUUAAUACCCCGCUGUUCCGACGGUACCCAAAGAAUAAGCACCGGCUAACUUCGUG
rnacentral:rRNA from 1 species